UUGUCAAUCGUGUUCAACUUCUUCAAUCGUGUUCAAUUCCUCAUUAAUUUUGAGAUCGAGUGAGUAGAAGAAGAUGACGGAGAACGAGAAGAAAGCUUCGCCGGUUUCCGAUUAGAUCUGGACAUGUUGUGUUAUGGAGGUCUCUGCAGAUCCUAGUGGGAUUAGCAUGUCACCUUUGUAGGAGAGCAGUGUUGAACAAGAUGACAUAAAGGAUCCUUUCGGUGAGGUCAAAUGGGUCAUGGGUCAGCAGUUCAAAUGGUUUAAUCAGUUAUCAACAUUUGUUGGGAUGCCACGUUUUUGAAGCUCGUGUGGCUGUAACCCGGGCUUUGAAGGCUAAGGGACUGUACAAAGGGAAGAGAAAAAUGAAAUGAGGCUAGGGAUAGUUCUAGAAGCAAUGAUGUGGUUGAACCUGUGAUAAAACCACAGUGGUAUGUUAACUGCAAUGGUAUAGCUAAGGAAGCUCUUGAUGUUGUCAUGGAAUGCACAUAUAAGAAAAGUGAGAUAAUGCCAAAACAAUAUGCUGCUGACUGGAGAAGGUAAUAAUUGAGAUUUUUUCAAGUAGCUAAAAGCAAGAUUGUUUUUAGUUUUUUACUUUAUUAUGCAGUUAAUCAAUAUAUUUUAUUUGUAAUCU
rnacentral:lncRNA from 1 species